AUCUAAAUAGAACAGCUUUAAACAUAAACAUUCUAACAAAAUUCUAAACUAUUACUGUGUGGGGUCUCUACAGACCAUAUUUAUUAUUAAUAAUAGGUAUAGAGUAUAUCGGGGAAGCCUCUUAAGGUUGUCUCCGAUUAUGAUAAAUAAAAUAUAGAUAUAUAUAUAUUAACGCUCUUUAUUAGUAAUAAGUACAGAUGUCUGUCGGAGGGCCUAUUAAGGUCUCCCCGAUUUUUAGGACAUCUGGAGAAUAUAAAAUCUAGGUCAAUUGAUUACAUUGGAAUGUUGCAACGACUUCAGUUGCAAAAACAAAACUAUAAAUCUGUCAUGAGAUCUGGAGUCCCAAGAUUGGAAAUGUCAUGAGAAUUGUAAAUUGAAUGAUGACAACAUUUCAAGAGCACAUCCGAAUGAAAGGACACACAUUGACUUGUCAUUUGUUUGUCAGGUUUACGGUUCGAGGGUGUGUCUCUGUUCACCCCUGCCUCCAAUUAAAGCAACAAACUUGCAACUUGGAGAGAAUUAUGAUGACACCAAAGGAAUCAUGUAAUUUGCAGGUGGCAGGCAAGUGGUGGGAAAACAGAACCCUUGGAAUGUGAGCAGGGAAAGCCUUGCUCUCCAGUAAGAUAGGGAAGGAAAAAGGAUAGUAAAAAAGGGAAUGACAAGUUCGGGGCAGUCGGAGAGAAACUGCCAAGAAGAGCAGUCGAGAAAAACCUAUUAAGGUAGCAAGGUCUGUCGAGAGGGUCAGCCCGAAAUAGAAGUCACAGUGCUGAGAGAGUUAGAGAGAUACUACAGCCCCAAGUUUGCCCAGUGGUCUCAAGUAAUCUAUUGUACCGUGAAACAUUGUCACUACUAUUGUUAUUGUUAUUUGUGAGAAGAAGACGAGACGGAUCAAGGGAAGUGGAAGUGAUUGCAGGAAAGACUAUGCCUAAUAGUUUAAUGCCCAUGUAAGAGAUUGAAGACUGUGCCGACCAAUUUAAAAAUUGGACUAGAGACUGUGUGUGCAUUAUUGAGAAGGAAAUCAAAGAGCGGGAAGCCUUUUUGUUCUUCGGAGAUCAAAUCAUUAUCACUUAUUCUCAACCGGUCAAGGUAUUUAUCCUAGUUGGAGGCUUUGAACCUCCAUUGUUUAAAAUUUUUCUCUCAAUAAAGAUCCUGGUUACUGUUAACCAUAGUUGUCUCUGUUCGUGCCGGA
rnacentral:lncRNA from 1 species